UACGUAGGGGGCAAGCGUUGUCCGGAUUUAUUGGGCGUAAAGAGCGUGUAGGCGGUUCGGUAGGUCCGUUGUGAAAACUCGAGGCUCAACCUCGGGACGCCGAUGGAAACCCCCGAACUAGAGUCCGGAAGAGGAGAAUGGAAUUCCUGGUGUAGCGGUGAAAUGCGCAGAUAUCAGGAAGAACACCCGUGGCGAAGGCGGCCCACUGGGCCGGUACUGACGCUGAGGCACGAAGGCGUGGGGAGCGAACGGG
rnacentral:rRNA from 1 species